AACUUAUUUUGCACGUAAAUCGCGUUGGACGAACGUUUUAUGCCUAAACUCCUUUUUCUCCUCCACAGUUCUCUCAGUCAGCAGCUGCAAUGGCAACAGAAACUGUGAACCCAAAAGCAUAUCCGCUUGCUGGUUCACAGCUUACAACGACCAUAAUGGAUUUGGUUCAACAAGCUGCUAAUUAUAAGCAGCUUAAAAAGGAUGCUAAUGAAGCUACGAAGACACUAGACAGAGGAGUUUCGGAAUUCGUUGUCAUGGCCGCAGAUACCGAGCCUCUUGAAAUCCUUCUUCACCGAAGAUAAGGUGAUUUAUAUUUUGCCUUUGAAUGGCUCCAAUAGAGGUAAUGAAUGCUGAGGAAUUCUGGUUAUUGACAUUUUCAAAGGUCUUUUGUGUAUAUAGUGAGGUUAUAUUGUUCUGAUUUCAGACUCUUAAGGAAACCAUGUGCAUAUUAUUUCUGCUGUAAUAUUUUUGCAAAUCUUUUUUAAUUUUACUAUAUUUACCUAUAUCAUUAGUGAUAUAGAAAUGAUUUUCUUCUUUUAUAAAUA